GCAACACAGACGCAUCCUGGUCAAAGACAUGGUUCAGCUUCUCGAAACUGAGAACGAUUCUCAAAUUUCAGAGUCAGUCCUUGUAAUUGGUUCCGAUCAACCUAUUGGUGUAAAAGAUUUGGGCUAAUGAAUUUAAACUCGACAUGGUUAACUGCAGAGAGAAACAAUUUCUAAUUAGAUAUUUUGAUCUUGUAAAUGUUUGUUAUUGGGACUUUAAUAAACAAACAAGGGCUCUCACUAUUUCUACGAAUCUCCCACACUCCUCAGGUGGAGAAAAUGGAAACCUAUACGUGAUCAGUUUCUAGUAGGCAC
rnacentral:lncRNA from 1 species